rnacentral:tRNA from 1 species
GGCUCCGUGGUGCGGCACCGGUGCAGCUCGCUCCCGGCGAGUGGCGGUGGCUGCUGGGUGCGAUUGCCAGCGGGGGCG